rnacentral:rRNA from 1 species
AUUGAACGCUGGCGGCAUGCCUAACACAUGCAAGUCGAACGAGUGGCGGACGGGUGAGUCAUGUCUGGGAAACUGCCUGAUGGCGGGGGAUAACUCCUGGAAACGGUAGCUAAUACCGCAUACCAUCAGCUUUUCCCAGAUGGGAGUAGCUUGUUGUUGGGGUACAGGCUCACCAAGGCGACGAUCCCUGGCUGGUCUGAGAGGAUGACCCGCCAAACUGGAACAGAGACACGGUCGAGACUCCGACGGGGGGCAGCAGUAGGGAAGAUUGCACAAUGGGCGCAAGCCUGAUGCAGCAAUGCCGCGUGUAUGAAGAAGGCCUUCGGGUUGUAAAGUACUUUCAGCGGGGAGGCGUUACCCGCAGAAGAAGCACCGGCUAACUCCGUGCCAGCCGCCGCGGUAAUAC